GGAAGCGUGCCUGAGAUAAGGAUUACAUUGAUAGUGUAAAAACGGAAAUAAAAAUUCCCACUUCC
rnacentral:tRNA from 1 species